GGUACGGGUUUAAGAAGCCCCGGCUAACUACGUGCCAGCAGCCGCGGUAAUACGUAGGGGGCCAGCGUUGCUCGGAAUUACUGGGCGUAAAGGGUUCGUAGGUGGUGCGGCAAGUUGGAAGUGAAUCUCUGGGCUUAACCCAGAGGCUGCUUUCAAAACUGCCGUGCUCGAGUGCGAGAGAGGCCAGUGGAAUUGCAGGUGUAGCGGUGAAAUGCGUAGAUAUCUGCAGGAACACCCGUGGGCGAAGGCGGCUGGCUGGAUCGCAACUGACACUGAGGAACGAAAGCUAGGGGAGCAAACAGGAUUAGAUACCCUGGUAGUCCUAGCCCUAAACCAUCAGGACUUGGGGUGGCCCGCGUAGGCGGGUCGUCCCGUAGCUAACGCGUUAAGUCCUGCGCCUGGGGAGUACGGUCGCAAGACUGAAACUCAAAGGAAUUGACGGGGGCCCGCACAAGCGGUGGAACAUGUGGUUCAAUUCGACGCAACGCGAAGAACCUUACCUGGGCUUGAACCGCUACUGACCAACGGUAGAAAUAUCGUCUUCCCGCAAGGGACAGUAGUAGAGGUGCUGCAUGGCUGUCGUCAGCUCGUGCCGUGAGGUGUUGGGUUAAGUCCCGCAACGAGCGCAACCCUUAUUCGUAGUUGCUACCCGCAAGGGAGAACUCUACGAGGACUGCUCCGGAUAACGGAGAGGAAGGUGGGGAUGACGUCAAGUCAGCACGGCCUUUAUGUCCAGGGCUACACACGUGUUACAAUGCACGGUACAGACUGUUGCGAACCCGCGAGGGGGAGCUAAUCGGACAAAACCGUGCUCAGUUCGGAUUGCAGUCUGCAACUCGGCUGCAUGAAGCUGGAAUCGCUAGUAAUGGCGUAUCAGAUCGACGCCGUGAAUACGUUCCCGGGCCUUGUACACACCGCCCGUCACAUCACGAAAGUGAGCUGUACUAGAAGUCGCGCAGCUAACCGCAAGGAAGCACGCGCCCAAGGUAUGGCCCAUGAUUGGGGUGAAGUCGUAACAAGGUA
rnacentral:rRNA from 1 species